UACGUAGGGUGCGAGCGUUGCCCGGAUUUAUUGGGCGUAAAGGGCGCGUAGGCGGCCACGCACGUCCGUUGUGAAAUCGCCCGGCUCAACUGGGCGGGGUCGGCGGAUACGGCGUGGCUGGAGCAAGCUAGGGGGCAAUGGAAUUCCCGGUGUAGUGGUGGAAUGCGUAGAUAUCGGGAGGAACACCUGUGGCGAAAGCGGCUCACUGGACCACAACUGACGCUGAGGCGCGAAAGCUAGGGGAGCAAACAGG
rnacentral:rRNA from 1 species